CCUACGGGGGGCAGCAGUGAGGAAUCUUCCACAAUGGGCGAAAGCCUGAUGGAGCAACGCCGCGUGAAGGAUGAAGGCCUUCGGGUUGUAAACUUCUUUUAUGAGUGAAGAAUAUGACGGUAACUCAUGAAUAAGCACCGGCUAACUACGUGCCAGCAGCCGCGGUCAUACGUAGGGUGCAAGCAUUAUCCGGAGUGACUGGGCGUAAAGAGUUGCGUAGGCGGUUUGUUAAGCGAAUAGUGAAACCUGGUGGCUCAACCAUACAGACUAUUAUUCGAACUGGCAAACUCGAGAAUGGUAGAGGUAACUGGAAUUUCUAGUGUAGGAGUGAAAUCCGUAGAUAUUAGAAAGAACACCAAUGGCGUAGGCAGGUUACUGGACCAUUUCUGACGCUAAGGCACGAAAGCGUGGGGAGCGAACCGGAUUAGAUACCCGGGUAGUC
rnacentral:rRNA from 1 species